UUAGUAGAGACGGGGUUUCACCAUGUUAACCAAGCUGGUCUCGAACUUCUGGCCUCAGUUGAUUCCCCAACUCAGUUUUUCCAGUUUAUAUUCCCACCAGCAGGGUACGAGGAUUCCUAUUUCCCUACUUCCUCAUUAAUUAAGGGGAUGACACUCUUUCCGUUGUUUUUAUAGAUCUGCACGGAAUAAUGCAGCUUCUCUGCAUGACUGGAGUUUGUUUUGUCUUUGAAGAUAAUCUCACUAGGAUCCAGACCAUACCUGCUGGAGAGUCAGGACUCUGGAUUUCUGACUGUUUUGAGGACAGCUACUCUCAUCCUAGGCUGAUCUGAGUUUCUGGGUCUUUCUCUGCCUGUUCUUUCCUCUCCCCUUCCCUUCUCUGCUGCAGAAAGUGUUUUAUGUGGGUGUCAGCAACAUCAGGACCUCUCAAACCCCUUGCCCCAGUAUCAUCCCUGAAUGCAAAACUCACUUAGAGGCCUAGGGAAGAGAUUAGAGCUCUGCUUUUCCUCUGCCACCUCAGGUGUAUUCUAGCUUACAAGACACUUUCACAGAAAAAAAAUUCAGGGAAUGGAAUGGGAAGGCAAAAAUAGCUGCUUGAUGCUGACUUGGCACAUUGACUUCGACCAAAUCACCCAGCGCCUCGUCCUUAGCACUCUGGUGACCACAGAAUAAUCCUCGCGCAGUGAGUAGUGGAAGUCAGGAGGAGUAAACUGCCUAGAUGUCAUGAAGGGAAAGCAAUAGACUUGUGCAAAGUCUAUUCUUGUCCGUUUCCCUGUGAAUCCAGGUUGCUGAACAUCGGCCGAUGUCUGAGCUGUGGUUUCCUCCUGGUUUUGAAAUUUAGUUACUAGAAGACAAUGCUUUUGAAUGGCUUCUUUGCCAUGACUUUCACAGGUCCUGCUGGCUGUUGCCUAAUGAAUGUCUGAUAGGCCUAGCCCCUUGGCAAAGCAAUGUUUUAUUUGCAAAAUUAUGCUUGUCCAGUGCCUCCUGGGAACUGAAAGCCUGGCAUCAGCAGAGGAACGCAAACCGGGCAAAUCACGGAUCUCCAAGGCUUGCAUUGCUUGGGGGCCAUGGCACACAGCACUGCUAAAAGCCUAGGACAAUCUGUGUGUUUUAGGAGCAAACCGAUGCCUCGCACUUCUAAACUGUAUCCUUUGCUCCCUCCCUGAGAGGCAGCCGUGUGCUCUGGGCUUCCUAGGUAAGUGACUCACACGAACUAUAAGCCUGGCUUACGACCUAGAAAAGGAAACAGGAAGUGGCUUAGAGACAUAAAGAGCACAGCCCAGGAGGGGCUGCCAUGGAAUUCUCCUUAGGUGAGAAGGGGUCCAAUGGGCAGAGGGGCAACUUGGCAUCCUCUCUUUCCCCGCGUUACCACAAUGCCCUUGGCAGGGACCAUUUGAUGGGGAGUCGGAUGUCUUCCUGGGGGUGGUGAACAGGGGUGAGGGAGGGGGAACUGCUGCUGGGUCAGUAGCUCCUCUCCAGAGUGAGCCCAUCAGUGGAAUGCCAUGCCCCUUCUCUAUCCCAUCUUUGCAAGUGGGCUUGGGUUCUUGGGAUGAGUUUCAUCAGGCCUUAUACAUGCAGACUGUGAAGAGGUGCCUCCAACAAGAAAAACCAGUCUCUGGCAGGUCCUCUAAGGGCAGGGAUUCUGGAGAGGCCGCCCUGUCCUCAGCUUGGCCCUGGCACAUUCUGGCUGCAGGUAAGAUGGCUGCAGCAGAGGGAGGGGAGGGGCCUCCCUGUUGAUGGAGACCACCAUGCAGCGCUUCACUAUGCUUCCCUUUCUGGCUCUCCCAGGGAGGAAGGGUGACUGGUGGCUGGCCGCUGGCGGCAGGGCUUGUGGAGGCUCAGUCCUGGGCCUGGUCCUGCUUCUCUUAGAGGUGGCUGGUUGUGCAAUGGCAUCCCGGCUGCUCCUCUUGGAGCCCCAUGACCACAAUUCCAGGCUCCACCCCCAUUUCUCACCACCCCCAGUGGUGAGAAAUGGAAUUUUUUGUUUUGUGUUUUUAUGCUGUUCCCAUAACACCCAGCACCUAUCCCCAAGGAUGAGUCCUGAAGACCCGUAGCCAUGGCAGGGCAGGGCCUAGAUACUGAAGGAGGGUCCCACUCAGAGGCCAGUUCCACCCACUGCAAAACGCCCUCUGAGGACCCUCACUAGACCAGUUCCUCAAAGUGCGGUCCGCAGGCUGCCAUCAGCAGAAUCAUGGGGUGAGAAAGGGGCUGGUAAAAACACGGGUUCUUGGCCCCCUCUGCAGACCUCCAGAAUCUAACCCUCUCAGGAAAAGUCCUGGAAAUCUGUGUGUCUAGAAGCACUUUCUUCUCCAGGUUGGUCAGCUCGGAAAUGUCUAAAUACUUUUCUCAAUACCAAUCCCGGUCUCAUUUAUUAUCCUUCUCAUGAAAAUGAUUUGCUUCCUUUCAACCUUGUAUGACCUCUGAAAAUAUGACCUAAAGCAGAGGGUCAUAUUUUCUUAUGCACUCACAUAAGAAACAUCACCUGUGGCCUUCAUUGGCAAGCAUGGAUUGCUGUUUUCAAUCAGGGGCUUUGAAGGAAGACACUUUUGAUCAUCGGGCUGCCUCUGUCUGCUUUUUCACUGAGUUGUCACUAUUAAAUGCCCUUCCCUGGCUUUGCCUUCUCUCUUCUCCACCAGAAAAUGGGCCUGCUGCUCUAAGAGGUUGGACUCUUGGAGUCCUCUAGCACAGGGGCCAUGAAAAUCAAUGACUUCCUUGUUUGCUGAUGGAGCAGAGGUAGAAUCUCUUGGUGUUUCCACAGAGAAAACGCUGGCUGUGAAGAGCCGAGAAAGAUGACAUGAUGAAGCCAUCAGGGGAGGCACCAAACAUCCUCAACUCUGCUCACCUAUGGUUUUCUCCAGCCCUCCCAGAGCUCCUCCUGCUAUAUCAGAUAAAUGGGAGAGAAGGAUGGCAGUGAAGCGGUAAUGAGAAGUGGGACCAGGAAUCCAGGUGUCAGGGAGGAAGACAUGAAGCAGGCAACGAGAAGAUCUGGAAAGAAGGAGGAGACUCUGAGAGCCAUUGUAAAGGAAGAUGUAGCCGGUUUUGGUAACAGGCUCAGCUAUGUCUUUACCAGCAGUAUGAAAAUGGACUAAUACAAGCUGCCAUCACAAAAUGCUCUAGAUUGGGUGGCUUAGACAACCGACACUUAUAUUCUCACAGUCCUGAGAACUGGAUAUCUGAGAUCAAGAUGCUGCUGGCAGAAUGGGUUUCUGGUUGUGAGAAAUGGAGCAGAAGCACCACACUUGAGGAGGGAGGCCACGAAGAGGACCCUCAAUCCUAGAUGGACAGAAGGAAGAGGAGGGAAUGAAAACAAAGAUCUUCCAACGGCAUCACUCCACUGCCUGGGGCAGACCCUGGAAUGAGUUGCUCUGCCACCUGAGAUCGCUGGACAGAGCCCCCAUCAUCCGGGAGAGCAGCCAGACAGGCAGGCCCAGGACAAGGGCUCGCGUGGCAUGGGGCACAGGGCAAGGCUCCCUUAGGUUGUUAAUGUGGUGGGUCCAGCACAACUAAAUGCAACUCAGAGAUUAUUUAUUUUUUCAGUGUUCAAACCUUAUUCAUACUCUUGUUAAAAUUUUACUCAA